rnacentral:rRNA from 1 species
CCUACGGGGGGCUGCAGUGGGGAAUAUUGGACAAUGGGGGGAACCCUGAUCCAGCCAUGCCGCGUGUGUGAAGAAGGCCCUCGGGUUGUAAAGCACUUUCAGUGAGGAAGAACGCCUGGUGGUUAAUACCCAUCAGGAAAGACAUCACUCACAGAAGAAGCACCGGCUAACUCCGUGCCAGCAGCCGCGGUAAUACGGAGGUGCGAGCGUUAAUCGGAAUUACUGGGCGUAAAGCGCGCGUAGGUGGCUUGAUAAGCCGGUUGUGAAAGCCCCGGGCUCAACCUGGGAACGGCAUCCGGAACUGUCAAGCUAGAGUGCAGGAGAGGAAGGUAGAAUUCCCGGUGUAGCGGUGAAAUGCGUAGAGAUCGGGAGGAAUACCAGUGGCGAAGGCGGCCUUCUGGACUGACACUGACACUGAGGUGCGAAAGCGUGGGUAGCAAACAGGAUUAGAUACCCUUGUAGUC